UACAGGGGGUGCAAACGUUGCUCGGAAUUAUUGGGCGUAAAGCGUGCGUAGGUGGUCUGUUAAGUCUGAUGUGAAAGCCCUGGGCUCAACCUGGGAAUUGCAUUGGAUACUGGCAGGCUAGAGUGCGGUAGAGGAUGGCGGAAUUCCCGGUGUAGCAGUGAAAUGCGUAGAGAUCGGGAGGAACAUCUGUGGCGAAGGCGGCCAUCUGGACCAGCACUGACACUGAGGCACGAAAGCGUGGGGAGCAAACAGG
rnacentral:rRNA from 1 species